UUUCGCUUCCCUAAGAGGGUAAGAAGAUCAAGUCCAUAAAUUCUGCAUGGUACUUGGGAAAGCCAGCAUGAAAGUAGAAAGGAAGACUCUGAAAUGAGUUAUUUUAGGGAGGAAGGAGUCUUCAAAUCUUGAAAAGCUGGGGAUACCAUACGGCCUGAAGAUUGUGCCACCCCAGUCGUAUCGUGCCCCAUGUCAGCUGGAAGCUCAGUGAAUCCUGACAAUCCUGUUAUGAGUUUGUGGUCUCAUUUCUUCCAUUCACGCAGGAACACCAACCCAGAAGAUUGCACUGUGAGAAAAUGAGCUAUUUACAUGGAUAGUACACAGUACAGCA